rnacentral:rRNA from 1 species
AUUGAACGCUGGCGGCAGGCCUAACACAUGCAAGUCGAACGAGUGGCGGACGGGUGAGUAAUGUCUGGGAAACUGCCCGAUGGAGGGGGAUAACUACUGGAAACGGUAGCUAAUACCGCAUACCAUCGGAUGUGCCCAGAUGGGAGGAGCUUUUAGGGGAGGUAACGGCUCACCUAGGCGACGAUCCCUAGCUGGUCUGAGAGGAGGACCAGCCACACUGUAACUGAGAGACUGUCCAGACGCCAACGGGAGGCAGCAGUGGGUAAGAUGGGACAAUGGGCGGAAGCCUGAUGCAGCCAGGCAGCGUGUAUGAAGAAGGCCUUCGGGGUGUAAAGUACUUUCAGCGGGGAGGCGUUACCCGCAGAAGAAGCACCGGCUAACUCCGUGCCAGCAGCCGCGGUAAUUC